rnacentral:lncRNA from 1 species
GUUUAACCCAUCCCCGUUCCAUUACCAUUUUUUCACCUAUCCCCAUUCCAUACAAGCAACAUAUACACACACACAUUAGUUACACACAUCACAUAUAAACAUCAAGAAAACACAAAUAUAUUUCCACUAAAAGAAGACCCAGAAAAAUUAGAGCAUCAGUUACCUUAAUUUUUAGAAAGAGAAAUCUGGCAGACGGAAAGAAUGAAGAAUCAAGAAAACACAAUAGUUACUGAUUUCAUUGAUUUCUUGAGUUUUCUUAUGAUUUUCAUGGUGAGGAAGAGAGACAAUGAAUAUUAUCAAACUCAUAUGGAAUCACAAACAUUUGUGAGAACACACCGUAGAAGCGGUGGUUCUAUGAUUAGACGGAUCUAACCUGCAAUGGAUCAAAACAAAAAAAUAAAUAUCAAUAGCAAAAAAUAAAAAUGAAACCCUAGUCACUUCUAAAAAACAAAAACGAUCUUCGUCUUCAACAUUCAGGAAUUUGAAAGAGCUAUAUAAAUAUGAAACUAUGAAGUAACAAAUCCCCUUUAUUCCUUCAGUAUUUAUCAUUUUUGGUUUGAAAUUGUCUUUUAACUUUCAACUAUAAUU